GGGUUGUGAGGUUAAGCGACUAAGCGUACACGGUGGAUGCCCUGGCAGUCAGAGGCGAUGAAGGACGUGCUAAUCUGCGAUAAGCGUCGGUAAGGUGAUAUGAACCGUUAUAACCGGCGAUUUCCGAAUGGGGAAACCCAGUGUGUUUCGACACACUAUCAUUAACUGAAUCCAUAGGUUAAUGAGGCGAACCGGGGGAACUGAAACAUCUAAGUACCCCGAGGAAAAGAAAUCAACCGAGAUUCCCCCAGUAGCGGCGAGCGAACGGGGAGCAGCCCAGAGCCUGAAUCAGUGUGUGUGUUAGUGGAAGCGUCUGGAAAGGCGCGCGAUACAGGGUGACAGCCCCGUACACAAAAAUGCACAUGCUGUGAGCUCGAUGAGUAGGGCGGGACACGUGGUAUCCUGUCUGAAUAUGGGGGGACCAUCCUCCAAGGCUAAAUACUCCUGACUGACCGAUAGUGAACCAGUACCGUGAGGGAAAGGCGAAAAGAACCCCGGCGAGGGGAGUGAAAAAGAACCUGAAACCGUGUACGUACAAGCAGUGGGAGCACGCUUAGGCGUGUGACUGCGUACCUUUUGUAUAAUGGGUCAGCGACUUAUAUUCUGUAGCAAGGUUAACCGAAUAGGGGAGCCGAAGGGAAACCGAGUCUUAACUGGGCGUUAAGUUGCAGGGUAUAGACCCGAAACCCGGUGAUCUAGCCAUGGGCAGGUUGAAGGUUGGGUAACACUAACUGGAGGACCGAACCGACUAAUGUUGAAAAAUUAGCGGAUGACUUGUGGCUGGGGGUGAAAGGCCAAUCAAACCGGGAGAUAGCUGGUUCUCCCCGAAAGCUAUUUAGGUAGCGCCUCGUGAAUUCAUCUCCGGGGGUAGAGCACUGUUUCGGCAAGGGGGUCAUCCCGACUUACCAACCCGAUGCAAACUGCGAAUACCGGAGAAUGUUAUCACGGGAGACACACGGCGGGUGCUAACGUCCGUCGUGAAGAGGGAAACAACCCAGACCGCCAGCUAAGGUCCCAAAGUCAUGGUUAAGUGGGAAACGAUGUGGGAAGGCCCAGACAGCCAGGAUGUUGGCUUAGAAGCAGCCAUCAUUUAAAGAAAGCGUAAUAGCUCACUGGUCGAGUCGGCCUGCGCGGAAGAUGUAACGGGGCUAAACCAUGCACCGAAGCUGCGGCAGCGACGCUUAUGCGUUGUUGGGUAGGGGAGCGUUCUGUAAGCCUGCGAAGGUGUACUGUGAGGUAUGCUGGAGGUAUCAGAAGUGCGAAUGCUGACAUAAGUAACGAUAAAGCGGGUGAAAAGCCCGCUCGCCGGAAGACCAAGGGUUCCUGUCCAACGUUAAUCGGGGCAGGGUGAGUCGACCCCUAAGGCGAGGCCGAAAGGCGUAGUCGAUGGGAAACAGGUUAAUAUUCCUGUACUUGGUGUUACUGCGAAGGGGGGACGGAGAAGGCUAUGUUGGCCGGGCGACGGUUGUCCCGGUUUAAGCGUGUAGGCUGGUUUUCCAGGCAAAUCCGGAAAAUCAAGGCUGAGGCGUGAUGACGAGGCACUACGGUGCUGAAGCAACAAAUGCCCUGCUUCCAGGAAAAGCCUCUAAGCAUCAGGUAACAUCAAAUCGUACCCCAAACCGACACAGGUGGUCAGGUAGAGAAUACCAAGGCGCUUGAGAGAACUCGGGUGAAGGAACUAGGCAAAAUGGUGCCGUAACUUCGGGAGAAGGCACGCUGAUAUGUAGGUGAAGUCCCUCGCGGAUGGAGCUGAAAUCAGUCGAAGAUACCAGCUGGCUGCAACUGUUUAUUAAAAACACAGCACUGUGCAAACACGAAAGUGGACGUAUACGGUGUGACGCCUGCCCGGUGCCGGAAGGUUAAUUGAUGGGGUCAGCGCAAGCGAAGCUCUUGAUCGAAGCCCCGGUAAACGGCGGCCGUAACUAUAACGGUCCUAAGGUAGCGAAAUUCCUUGUCGGGUAAGUUCCGACCUGCACGAAUGGCGUAAUGAUGGCCAGGCUGUCUCCACCCGAGACUCAGUGAAAUUGAACUCGCUGUGAAGAUGCAGUGUACCCGCGGCAAGACGGAAAGACCCCGUGAACCUUUACUAUAGCUUGACACUGAACAUUGAGCCUUGAUGUGUAGGAUAGGUGGGAGGCUUUGAAGUGUGGACGCCAGUCUGCAUGGAGCCGACCUUGAAAUACCACCCUUUAAUGUUUGAUGUUCUAACGUUGACCCGUGAUCCGGGUUGCGGACAGUGUCUGGUGGGUAGUUUGACUGGGGCGGUCUCCUCCUAAAGAGUAACGGAGGAGCACGAAGGUUGGCUAAUCCUGGUCGGACAUCAGGAGGUUAGUGCAAUGGCAUAAGCCAGCUUGACUGCGAGCGUGACGGCGCGAGCAGGUGCGAAAGCAGGUCAUAGUGAUCCGGUGGUUCUGAAUGGAAGGGCCAUCGCUCAACGGAUAAAAGGUACUCCGGGGAUAACAGGCUGAUACCGCCCAAGAGUUCAUAUCGACGGCGGUGUUUGGCACCUCGAUGUCGGCUCAUCACAUCCUGGGGCUGAAGUAGGUCCCAAGGGUAUGGCUGUUCGCCAUUUAAAGUGGUACGCGAGCUGGGUUUAGAACGUCGUGAGACAGUUCGGUCCCUAUCUGCCGUGGGCGCUGGAGAACUGAGGGGGGCUGCUCCUAGUACGAGAGGACCGGAGUGGACGCAUCACUGGUGUUCGGGUUGUCAUGCCAAUGGCACUGCCCGGUAGCUAAAUGCGGAAGAGAUAAGUGCUGAAAGCAUCUAAGCACGAAACUUGCCCCGAGAUGAGUUCUCCCUGACCCUUUAAGGGUCCUGAAGGAACGUUGAAGACGACGACGUUGAUAGGCCGGGUGUGUAAGCGCAGCGAUGCGUUGAGCUAACCGGUACUAAUGAACCGUGAGGCUUAACCUUACAACGCCGAAGCUGUU
rnacentral:rRNA from 1 species